rnacentral:rRNA from 1 species
CGGUAACAGCUCAAAUUUGAAAUCUGGCUCUUUCAGGGUCCGAGUUGUAAUUUGUAGAAGAUGCUUUGGGUGUGGCUCCAGUCUAAGUUCCUUGGAACAGGACGUCAUAGAGGGUGAGAAUCCCGUAUGUGAUUGGUGGCCUUCGCCCGUGUAAAGCUCUUUCGAC